rnacentral:rRNA from 1 species
AACGAACGCUGGCGGCAUGCCUAAUACAUGCAAGUCGCACGAGAAAGUCCUUCGGGAUGAGUAGAGUGGCGCACGGGUGAGUAAUACAUGGGAACGUACCCUUUUGUUGGGAAUAACCACGGGAAACUGUGGCUAAUACCGAAUGUGAUCGAGAGAUUAAAGGUGGCCUCUAUUUAUAAGCUAUCGCAAAAGGAGCGGCCCAUGUCCCAUUAGCUAGUUGGUAGGGUAAUGGCCUACCAAGGCGACGAUGGGUAACUGGUCUGAGAGGAUGAUCAGUCACACUGGAACUGAGACACGGUCCAGACUCCUACGGGAGGCAGCAGUAGGGAAUAUUGCGCAAUGGGCGAAAGCCUGACGCAGCAAUGCCGCGUGAGUGAAGAAGGCCUUUGGGUCGUAAAGCUCUUUCGGCCGGGAAGAAGGGUCGUAUGGCUAAUAUCCAUGCGAUUUGACGGUACCGGAAGAAGAAGGACCUGCUAACUACGUGCCAGCAGCAGCGGUAAUACGUAGGGUCCAAGCGUUGUUCGGAAUUACUGGGCGUAAAGCGCGCGUAGGCGGGCUUGUAUGUCAAUUGUGAAAUCCCCGGGCUUAACCUGGGAAUGGCAGUUGAAACUGCAGGUCUUGAGUACCCGAGAGGGAUGGGAGAAUAGCUGGUGUAGUAGUGAAAUACGUAGAUAUCAGCUGGAAUACCUGAGGCGAAGGCGCCUAUCUGGUGGUGUACUGACGCUGAGGCGCGAAAGCGUGGGGAGCAAACAGGAUUAGAUACCCUGGUAGUCCACGCUGUAAACGAUGGAUACUCGGUGUGCGGAGCGUUAACCCUCUGCGUACCAAAGUUCACACAUUAAGUAUCCCGCCUGGGAAGUACGGUCGCAAGACUAAAACUCAAAGGAAUUGACGGGGGCCCGCACAAGAGGUGGAGUAUGUGGUUUAAUUCGAAGCAACGCGCAGAACCUUACCUGGCCUUGACAUCCCACGACGCUUGCAGAGAUGUAAGUUUCCCUUCGGGGACGUGGAGACAGGUGCUGCAUGGCCGUCGUCAGCUCGUGUUGUGAAAUGUUCGGUUAAGUCCGGCAACGAGCGCAACCCCUGUUCUUAGUUACCAACAUUAAGUUGGGGACUCUAGGAAGACUGCCGGUGUUAAACCGGAGGAAGGCGGGGAUGACGUCAAGUCCUCAUGGCCCUUACGGCCAGGGCUACACACGUACUACAAUGGCAGAAACAAAGGGUUGCAAGACCGUGAGGUGGAGCUAAUCCCAAAAACACUGUCUCAGUCCGGAUUGGAGUCUGCAACUCGACUCCAUGAAGUUGGAAUCUCUAGUAAUCGCAGAUCAGCACGCUGCGGUGAAUACGUUCCCGGGCCUUGUACACACCGCC